rnacentral:tRNA from 4 species
GCCUGAGUGGUGAAAUCGGUAGACACAACGGAUUCAAAAUCCGUCGCCCCUAAAGCGUGUCGGUUCGAGUCCGACCUCAGCACCA